GGGGAUCCUUCCUCUGGAGUUUUGCAGUGAGCCUAGGAUACGGACGCUUCUGAAAAGGUGUCUGCUUUUAAAUGGAAUCGUAUCUCCCUGUGCUCCAUGUUCCCGUCAAUCCCUCUGUGAUUCUAAAUCAAUGUUUUCCUGAAGUGUGGUAGCAAUGGGGAUCCACUGUGAUGGAAAAAAAUAUGCCACAGGGUGAUAGGGUUGAAACAACAGGAUGAGAGAUCUCAAACACGCUACUGAAUGUUGUACUCUGACAAAACUACAUGGCUUCCUUUAUCAAGACAGCUGUGUUUUUAAAUAAAUCUUAAUUUGGCCAGCAGAAGGAUUAUGCCUGAUACUCAGAUGUACUACCUUGAAAGGUUGCCUUGACUUCCUCAAGGAGUUUAAAUUAAGGCAUUCAGGAUGCCAGACCAGAAGGCUUCACAGACUGAGGAUUAUCAAAGCAUAUCCCACUUUCCUCAGUUGUUUUUGAGAAGCAUUCAAACUUUCUGUGAUCAAACAUCUGCCUGUGGAUACACAGACCAUGCCAACUGCUUGCAGGCUUCGCCAAAGGGGAACACCCAGCUUUGGGGUCUAGAAACAUCGGCCCUUACUCACUGCGCUGUUUUUUCAUGAAAAGGCCAAAUGUAUUCCUUCCAGCAGAGGGCAGCGUAAGUUCCAGCAGCGUCUUAGUGUAAUUUAGGAGACAAAAUUCAAAUAUUCUUAGGAAAAAAAAACAAAAAAACCCAACUUGAAGUAGAUGAUAAACAAGAGAGCUCAUUUGCCUUGCCCUUCAGGUGAAACGUGAUUUUAUCUUGGCUUUAUUCCAUGAAGUACAGAGUAGACCUUUUGAUUAACAGUGGUGUGCCAUUAUGAAAAGAAAAACUUCUCCAGCUCUUAAGAAUUAAAAAUGUGAAUUCUUGAUACAUAAAUAAUGUAUUCUGAAAGCCUUAUUUUAAAAAGCCUUAUUUUUUUGUGGCUCAGUUUAAGGUGUACCUUUUUGACAAAUACUUUUCCCUUAAAGAAAAAAUAAGAUUAGCAUUUUAUGGCAAGCAAUUAAGAUUUUGUCCACAGUAGUGUUUCUAAUAACAAACUAUGCAGACACAUAAGGGAUCUAUCUCUCUCAAUACUCAUUAUGAGAUAAUGGUGCUCUAUUUCAGAUUUCUGACCUUUGCAAAGAUGAAAAUGCCAUCAAAAUGAUAAGAUUCUGUGACAGAUUGGAAAUCAUAUGGCUUCAGAUUGCAAUUGUAUGGUUGUAAUUUAGUAGCUCUCUUCUAUAAGAAAGACUUAGAACCUUUAUUGAUAGCUAUGAAUUAUCCUUUUUCCUUGCAUCCUUGUAGAAUAUCCACUCUGUGAGUUUGAUGCUCAGUGUCUGCAGUUUAGCAGCUUUGCUGGUAUAUGCCUAAAGCAUGAGGCAAGUGCUAUAUGAACAUGAUUUUUACUCUCAUGUAGGAUGAACUUCUGUUCUCUUUAACACUUUUUAUUGACUAAAUUCAAUCCAAAGAGUUUGUGCAGUAAAGUCUUGCAGGUAAUACAAUUGUUUUGAAAAGCUGAAAAAAUAAAAAAAAUAAGUGUUUGGGUAAUGAUAUUUUAACCUCUUUUUCUUUCUUCCUUUGCAUUUGUGUGGAAGAGACAUGUGGCAACAUAUGACCAGAACAAGGAGAAAAUUAUGAAAUUAAUUGUAGCAAAUGUGAAAUCCUAGAUGCACAUAAGCCAGGUUCUGAGUUAAACUCAUGAAAUGCUUUUCAGAUUAGAGAUAUUACUGUACAGUUCGAUUUUGACACCAAGUUCUCCAGCAGAAAGGAGACAAAUCCGACAGAAGAGCAGCCCAUGGGAAGACAAAACUGUCAAAGAAAGAAGGAAGAGAAAACAAUCCAACUGUUUCCUUGCAACGCAUCCUUUCCCUGGGAAGAUGAGAAGCUGCAUUUCAGCUGCUGUAGAGAAAGCACAAGCCAGAUGUGGAGUUCAGUGCCAGUGCAUCGACUCACAGGACAGAAUGUGUGCACAGGAGGUGUCAAAGCCCAGAAGUGCAGCAGCACAGAAGAGAUUAUGAGGUUCUUUCUUCUCCUCCACUUGGAUGCUUCAAGCAGUGAAGCUAAAGCAGCACAGGCAGAGCGGCAGAAUAUGGCAUCCUUAAUGCCUAGUGGCCUAGCAGAUUAAUUGUGCAACCAUUGUCCCCCACUUUUCCUGCAUAUUAAAGUGGGGCUAAUGAGUCAUUAAUUGCAGUCUGCUUGGAAGAAUGGGUUGUUUGUUCAGCACUUUGAAAUCAUAAAUCAAUAUACACUGCAAAUACGAUGUGCCGCCUACAGCUUCAUUCAACAGAGAGCAGCAUUGGACAGGAAAAAAAUGAUGCCUCUCCCUGGUUCAUAAUGCUGCCCUCUGUAGAACCAGGUGGUGUGGAUGACUCCUUGGUGUCUGUCUGGAGAAUAAGUGUGAUGGAAGAGGGCUUUUCCACCAUCUCCUGCGGGCAAAGUGAGCAAACCUAAAUGAAGUAAGAGGAGGAUACAAAUGGUGAUCACCUGAAUCAUUUUGGCUUCCAUAGAUAUGACUAUUCAUUUAGU